UGCGCAAAUGACCUCUGCGAGGCCGUGGGCCAUGCCAGGCCUCGCAGAGGCCAUUUACACGCGCACACUACAGAGGCCCAAAUGGGCCAAAAAUGAUCAGUUUCCUGGGCCGUGGCGGUGAUUUCAGAGGCCGGGGAGGUGAGAGGGGAACCCUUGCGGACCCCCCUGUGGCAUACUGGAAGCCUCCCAAAGGGGCUAAAGGACUGAGUUCAAGAAGAUGUGGAUAUGCGUGUCUGCGACUGAAUGAGAGACAGAGAUUCUAGCAUCACUGACUUAGAGAGCUUCCCCUGAGAACGAAUCCUUUGAUAGCAACCAUAGACAGUGUAAAUUAGAGGUGAAGAAUAUUAAAAAAUGCAGUGGUUGGAGAAUGUUCUCUUCCAUGUCUAACAACAACACCCUCUUUGUAUUGCCCUGAAUUGAAGAUGACCCUCAAUUUAAGAAGAUCCCCUUAAAAAGUAGAGUUUAAAUACAGGUUAUACCUGCAUUAACUUGAAAAGAAAAAGACUCUGAAUUUAAGAAGAACUUCUGAUUUCUAAUAUCGAAAAACAUUGUAAAAAACCUAGUCUUGGAUUCAGGUAAAUACAGUAUUUGAAACUGUCUUUCUGUAUCAAUAACAUAAAAUAGGUCAGUUAAAGAGAGAGUUCUUAUUCACCAUAGAGUUGUUUGGACCACCUCUGCCUUUCUGCCCACGAUUUUACUGAUUUUGUUUCUGAUUUUCAGUGAGGCACAGUUCAUUUGAUUAUCAUAUGACAGCACUGCUGCUACUAAGGCUCCCAAGCCUGGCUCUAGUGAUCUAAUAGAUAGUAGAUGAUUGUGGUGUUGCAGCUC